rnacentral:lncRNA from 1 species
UUUUAAUUCAAAAUUCAUCAAUUCUUCGGUAUUCCAACUGCAGGUAUUCGACCAGUCCAUAUGCAUUGCAAAAAAUGGGAAAGUGUAAAACAAUACUUGUGCAAUACUGAUUAAAGAAGAGUUGAUAAAAGUUGCAAAACAGAUAAUAAUAUGGUUAAAUAAUAGAAACUUGGAUAUAAAUACUGAAAAUUGUUAUAUAUAGUUUUCUCCUUGCAUAAUCGCACUAGGGAAGGGUUAAACCUAUAUAAUCAUAACUCAACAGUAAAUCCAGUGUUAUAUCAUAAAGACUUGGGUGUUGUUUUGGAUCUGAGGUUGUCAUAUCAUUGGCACAUUGAAUUAAUGAGAAAUAAACUGAAACAAAAGAUCAACUUUACUCAAAGAUACUUACAGGAUAUAAAAAACAUGAUGGCACUGAAGGCUUGGUUUCAUGCUGCUUUCAUGUCCUCAAUCUCAUAUGGUAUUAGCAUUUAUGCCAGUGCACCCAAAUCAAUCUUAAAAAGAUUGAUAGAAGGGUAUAAUAAUAUAAUAGUCUGGUGGAAUUUAUGCAGAGAAGGAUAUCACGAUUAAAUCAAUUUCAAGGUAAUAAGAUCUCAGUGGAUUUACCGAGCUUCCAGAAUUGUUUACUUAAUCAUGACCUUAUGUAUAUUGGUAAAUUCAUUGAUGGUACUUUAGACCCUGG